rnacentral:rRNA from 1 species
AGAGUUUGAUCAUGGCUCAGAGCGAACGCUGGCGGCAGGCCUAACACAUGCAAGUCGAGCGCCGUAGCAAUACGGAGCGGCAGACGGGUGAGUAACGCGUGGGAACGUGCCCUUCGGUUCGGAAUAACUCAGGGAAACUUGAGCUAAUACCGGAUACGUCCGAGAGGAGAAAGAUUUAUCGCCGAAGGAUCGGCCCGCGUAAGAUUAGCUAGUUGGUGAGGUAAUGGCUCACCAAGGCUCUGAUCUUUAGCUGGUCUGAGAGGACGAUCAGCCACACUGGGACUGAGACACGGCCCAGACUCCUACGGGAGGCAGCAGUGGGGAAUAUUGGACAAUGGGCGCAAGCCUGAUCCAGCCAUGCCGCGUGAGUGAUGAAGGCCUUAGGGUUGUAAAGCUCUUUUGGCAGGGACGAUAAUGACUGUACCUGCAGAAUAAGCCCCGGCCAACUUCGUGCCAGCAGCCGCGGUAAUACGAAGGGGGCUAGCGUUGCUCGGAAUCACUGGGCGUAAAGCGCACGUAGGCGGGUCGUUAAGUCGGGGGUGAAAUCCUGGAGCUCAACUCCAGAACUGCCUUCGAUACUGGCGAUCUUGGAGUCCGGGAGAGGUGGGUGGAACUGCGAGUGUAGAGGUGAAAUUCGUAGAUUUCGCAAGAACACCAGUGGCGAANNCGGCUCACUGGCCCGGUACUGACGCUGAGGUGCGAAAGCGUGGGGAGCAAACAGGAUUAGAUACCCUAGUAGUCC